GACUACCGGGGUAUCUAAGCCUGUUUGCUCCCCACGCUUUCGUGCCUCAGUGUCAACUCAAGUCUAGUAAGCUGCCUUCGCAAUUGGUGUUCUAUGGCAUAUCUAUGCAUUUCACCGCUACAUGCCACAUUCCGCCUACCUCAUCUUGGUUCAAGCAUUACAGUAUCAAAAGCAGUUCCUACAGUUAAGCUGUGGAAUUUCACUCCUGACUUAUAACGCCACCUACGCACCCUUUAAACCCAGUGAUUCCGGAUAACGCUUGCACCCUCCGUAUUACCGCGGCUGCUGGCACGGAGUUAGCCGGUGCUUAUUCUUCUGGUACCGUCAGUUCUUCAUAAAUGAAGCUUUUUCGUCCCAGACUAAAGAAGUUUACAACCCAGAGGGCAUUCAUCCUUCACGCGGAAUGGCUGGUUCAGUGUUCCCACCAUUGACCAAUAUUCCUUACUGCAGCCCCCCGUAGG
rnacentral:rRNA from 1 species